rnacentral:piRNA from 1 species
UAAUCUCGGAACCUGAUGAUGCUUUUGU